CCCCUCCCGGCAGGGUUGCUGCCUGGGAAUACCUUCCUUCUGAGCCGAGUUCAGGCGUUUCCACGCUAAUAGAAUCGUUUAUUAUUCGUUUUUUUUAUUAGGCUAAUACAAGUAAUUGAUGACCACGAUAAAGAUGUCGGCAGCGGCUUUACCAAGCUAAAACUCUUGCACAUCUCUGACAGUGUAAUUCUGGAGCUGGUCCUUCAUUCUGAAGAGAGCUGUUCACUUCCUGCCAUAUGUUACAUCAGGACACUAGAAUCUUUCCUGAGGAAGAAUCUUCAGCAUCUUGGAAGCAGGAAAAUAGAGAAGAAGCACUCUUACUAUCCUCAGCAAAUUAUCAGGGGCCACUGGAAAUAUAAAGCUGCCAGGGUUUCUGUGAGGGAAAGCCAGAGUGGCAGAGGUGGGCUCAGUCUGUAGAAACUCGCAUUGCCGUUCUUCAUCAGCAAGUGCACAGUAAACCAUGGAGUACACAGAUCAUGCAUAUUCAGCCAGUAAGAUCCUAUGCUGCCCAUGUGGAUCACAUGGUCAUGGAUCUGAUCUGUCGCCCCUGUCCUCUCUAGCUGAUUAGAGCAGGUCCUCAAAAUAUAUGAAGCAGAAAUUGACAGAAUUAAUGGCAGAAAAUGACAGUUUUACAAUGGUAGUUGGAGACUUCAAUACCCGUUUUUCAACAGUGGAUAGAACAAUAAGGUACAGUGCGAUCUACUAAGUCCAGCUUGCAGCAAGACAGUGGGAUCCCAGUGGUGAUUGAGUAGUUCGCCCUCGCCCAGGGCUGUGAAAAAUGCAAUUGCUCUUAUAUCCUGAAACCUUGUUGAACUCAUUUAUUAGUUCUAAUAGUUCUUUUGUGGAACAUCUUCAGAGGAGAGGAUGGGUGAUGAACCAUCAGAAAAUUCAAGGCCCAGGCACUGCCAUCAAAUUUUGGGAGUCAUUUGGUCAGGUCAAUAACUGCAUACCUAUAGAGAUAUUGCAUAUGGAUUCUCAGCUGCAAUUGGUCUCACUUGACUAAAUUUGUGAUACUUUUUCACAAACCAUCUGACCUACAGUGGCCAAACAGCUGGCUGACCUGUGGAGUGCAAGCUCCAGCAUUAGAUGCAGACGGCAGUCUUGCAUACGCUGCGUAACCAACUGCCACGAUUGCAUAAAGGAGAAUCUGUAACAAAUUCCUGCCCAGGCAUGAUCCUAUUGGACUAUAGCGCCCCCAAAUGGAUAUGUAUCAAAAGAAGAUGGGUCCUGCUCAAGUGUGAAGAACCAAACAAAGGGUCAGCUGGACUUAGCGUGGAUGCCAAAGAGUUGCCAGCUACAAUCAGAGAAAACCACCUGGCCAUAGAAAACCUGCUACCUUAGAAGUCUAGACAUUUGCCCUGCGGUUGUGAACAACUUCAACCAGCCUUCUGCCUUCAGAUUUCUUCAGGUAAAAGUCAAGCACAAGUGUCUAUCUUCUGCAGACACCAAAGCACACAUGACCCUUUGUGUCCAAAGGUUCUCCCAUGAUCUCUUCCUGCUUCAGUGGCAACACAGUCAAGAGACCUAACUUUUUUUUUUUCUGUAGGAUAGCAAGACUCCAGCCUGGGAGUAAGAAGCCAGUGUUCCCUCUUGAAAGUUUUAAUUGGGGUCCUUUUACUUGGCUUUAGCAGAGGAACAGUAGCACUUUCUACUUUAAAAAUCAUUUCUCUUCCUCCAGUUGAUCUCUAGAAUUCUCUUAUGUAGACUGGAAUUGAAUGGUGAGGAAUGAUAAUUGAAAUACUAGUUUGGCUACCUCUUAGCAAGUACUAGUUGAUAUAUUUAUUUAUUUUUGAGAGGCAACAUGGAGUACUAGUGAACAAUCUUAACUCUGGAGCCAUAACGCCUGGCUUCAAUUCCUGACUUAACCUUUUGACCUCUCUGUGCCUCAGUUUCUUUAUUUGUAAAACAGGGAUAAUAAGAGUAUCUACAUCAUAGAAUUUUUGUGAGGACUAAAUGUGUGUGUAUCGUAGAUAAAUACCUUAGAACAGUAUGUAGAAUAACAGUGCUAUAUGUGCUAUUAGUGCUAUUGCUUAUUUUUCGUUGACUUAAAACUUAAGCUCCAUGCAUUCAGGAUCUUUUUUUGUUUACUGCUACAUUUCCAGCUCUUAAAAACAGUGCACAUAACAGGCACUAGUAAAUGUUAGUGCCCUCAGACUUCUUCUGAAUGAAUUAAUGUGACAUUUAAGCUUUAGAAGUUAAGGUGUGCGCAGGGAAAGUAGGGUCUGAGAAGAUUAAGAAAGAUAGCCAGAAAACUGAUGUUUCAGAAGCUGUAGGAGAGGAGAACUUAACAAGGAAGGAAUACACAACAGUGUCAAACAUCACUUGAGUGUAAAAGAAAACUAAAACUAAAAUAUGGUCAUUGUGUUUUGUAACAAGAGACCCCUAUCUUUUUGCUUUCAUAUCCUGGGAAGUAAGGGUUUUCUUCUCUCCAGAGGUAUUUUAUUAGAAUGAAUGACCACUCAGAACAAGUCUUUGAAUAAGUCUUAAAAGUUUUUAGCUCUGCGUUAUCAACCUCCAAAGAACAAACCAGUCCUGCACUCACUUAGUUUGGGCCAUAACAACAAAGGACCCACUCUUAAUAAGAUACAGUCCAUUUUCUUGACCCCAAAUUCUCCUCUUGAAUCAAAGGGCAAAACUUGCUUUUGACAUCUGCACACAACUCCGUGCUAGUUCCCCACCUAAGAAUGUUCUUCUCCCUUUUCCCCACCCACCCUUGCUUUUCAAGAAUACAAGUAAAAUGUAUAAAGAACUGUUAA